rnacentral:rRNA from 1 species
CCUACGGGGGGCAGCAGUGAGGAAUAUUGGUCAAUGGGCGGAAGCCUGAACCAGCCAAGUCGCGUGAGGGAAUAAGGCCCUACGGGUCGUAAACCUCUUUUGCCGGGGAGCAAGGGCGGGGACGUGUCCCGGUCCUGAGAGUACCCGGGGAAAAAGCAUCGGCUAACUCCGUGCCAGCAGCCGCGGUAAUACGGAGGAUGCGAGCGUUAUCCGGAUUCAUUGGGUUUAAAGGGUGCGCAGGCGGGCUUUUAAGCCGGCGUUGAAAUCGCGGGGCUCAACCCCGCCGGGCCGUCGGAACUGGGGGCCUUGAGUGCGCCGGAGGAAGGCGGAAUGCGCGGUGUAGCGGUGAAAUGCAUAGAUAUCGCGCAGAACCCCGAUUGCGAAGGCAGUGUGCCGUGGCGCUACUGACGCUGAGGCACGAAAGCGCGGGGAUCGAACAGGAUUAGAUACCCUAGUAGUC